GCUAGGGAAUGACCCCUAAGUCGUCUCCCAAAGACCAAUUCUACGGUUCAAGAAUCGACUCUAACACGAAAAGGGGGGGUUUGUGAAAAGGGUUUUGCAAAAAUUAAAGAAGUCGAUAAAGACACAGAUGAUGCAAACAAACUAAUUUAAGCUAGCAUGGUAAUAAAACUAACACUAUAAAAAAAAAACCUUAGACAACAUUCAAACAAAAUAAAAUAAAAUACUAGACACCAACACCAUUACACACAACUAUCUAACAAACUUAAAUUAAAUUAAAUGCAAUACUCAACAAAGAAAAAAAAUGAAACACAACUCAAUAUACUAUGCCAAAUAUUUUAAAGCAAAGAAAUGAAUGAAUAUAGUUUGCCUCCACCAAUUCACGUGACUUCCCAAGCUUAGGUGAAGAAAAUUAAUUCCUCUCUCCUCCAAAGGGGUGACUUAACUUGCUUUGCUACCAAAGAGUAAAAAGAAAUACUUUUCUUCUUCUACAAAAUCACUUUGUCGAGACACCCUUUUACCAAAUUCCAUUUCAUUCUCUCUCAUCAAAGGCAAUGACCAUGAGCUUUAUUCCAUUCUCCAAGAAAGCAACUUGAUUAAAUCACAAAAUUGUGAAGCAAAUCCCAAGAAUGUUUGACUUCCACCUCUUCUACCUUGCAUUGAAUUCCAUUUCUUCAAUCCAUCACCGUGGGCCCCUUUGCCAAAAGGAAUUUCCAAUUCUCACUUCUCAAGAAACCAAGGACGUAGCUUACCAAUUUGAAUGGUCCUCCUUGCAGCCGUGACAUCCUUCUCCCAUUCUUGGUCAACUUUGCAAUGUAAUAUAAAACAACAAAAGAAAAACUUCCUUGAAGAUGCCAAGCCGGACGUCCGUAGCUUCCCAAGGUAAGGCUAUCUUCUUUCCAUCUCUUCUCCCAAGGCUAAUAAAACUCAACAAAGAUGAACCAAUGCAAACUACUUCACUCAAAAUCAUCCACGGUACAAGCUCACCUACUACUAUCCAAUCACCUUUUCAUUCUUCAAAGUG
rnacentral:lncRNA from 1 species